rnacentral:rRNA from 1 species
GCAGUCGUACGAGGGUUUUUACCCUAGUGGCGGACGGGUGAGUAACACGUGAGAAUUUACCUUUAGGAGGGGGAUAACAAUCGGAAACGAAUGCUAAUACCCCAUAUGCUUUUGAGUGAAAUGGAUUUAUUCGCCUAAAGAGAAGCUCGCGGCUGAUUAGCUUGUUGGUGAGGUAAAAGCUUACCAAGGCGACGAUCAGUAUCUGGUUUGAGAGGACGAUCAGACACACUGGAACUGAGACACGGUCCAGACUCCUACGGGAGGCAGCAGUGGGGAAUUUUCCGCAAUGGGCGAAAGCCUGACGGAGCAAUACCGCGUGAGGGAAGACUGCCUAUGGGUUGUAAACCUCUUUUUUCAGGGAGGAAAAAAAUGACGUGUACCUGAAGAAUAAGCAUCGGCUAACUCCGUGCCAGCAGCCGCGGUAAGACGGAGGAUGCAAGUGUUAUCCGGAAUCACUGGGCGUAAAGCGUCUGUAGGUGGUUUAAUAAGUCAACUGUUAAAUCUUGAGGCUCAACUUCAAAAUCGCAGUCGAAACUAUUAGACUCGAGUAUAGUAGAGGUAAAGGGAAUUUCCAGUGGAGCGGUGAAAUGCGUAGAUAUUGGAAAGA